CAGGAACAUUUUGUCCUGGUGGUUCAUCCCUUCCUAUUCCCUGUACCCCAGAUUAUAUAUGUCCUGUUGGUCACUAUUGCCCAACAGGCAGCCCAGAGCCCAAACCCUGUCCCUCUGGGAAAUACCAGGACCAGACUGGUCAAAGCCUGUGCAAGACGUGCCCAGCAGGAAAGUUCUGUGGCCCAGAAGUCCAAAUCCAAGAUCACAAGGAGACCUUUUCACAUGGAACGAUCAAGCCAGCAGAUUGCCCGGCUGGAUACUACUGCCUCUCAGGAACUAAAACUGCCAAGCAGUACCCAUGCCCCAAGGGCACCUUCAGUAACCAGACUGGGCUGAGCAAUUCCAAGGACUGCAGAGCUUGCCCUGGGGGAAAAUUCUGUGCAGAUGCAGGUCUCUUGACCCCGAGUGGCCCUUGUUUGCCCAGGUAUUACUGCAUUUUGAAGGCACGUGUACCUAAUCCUGUUAAAGAUGAAACUGGAGACUUGUGCCCAGCAGGACACUUCUGCCCACUGGGUAGCAGCAGCCCAG
rnacentral:lncRNA from 1 species